UAUCUAAACAUUUGUGCUACAAUUAAAUUUCUUUGUCCUAUUGUUGAACUGAUGUAACCUGAUUGACAUUGCAAGGUGCUGACAUGAGCUUACAAGAAUUUAUUUCAUUUCAACUACAGGAAAUACUCUAGAGUUAGGAAAUGGACCCUUGGUUUAUCAGGUGGUAAAGAUCAAAUUGUCAUAAUCAGAGCCUCCGGAAGCAUUAGUAGGGUACAGGGUCCAUUCAGUGUAUCUGGUUCGGGUAUUACUAGUGAGCAAUUUAUUGAGAAGAUCCGUAGUGUAAGAGAGUCAAAAAGAUAUAAGGUUGUUAUCAUCCGAAUUGAUAGUCCUGGAGGUGAUGCUCUUGCUUUUGAUUUGGAUGAUUUGCAAAUCCCUUCUUCUCCAUACUUCCCAGACUAUGACUAUGCCUAUGCACAAGGACAUGGACAAGGACCGCCCCUAAUGGUGCAAGAGCGUUUUCAGUGUGUUAUCAGUCAGCUUUUUCAGCAUGUAAGGGACUAUUUUUUUGGUUUUCUGUUCAAC